AGUCCCUUAACGAGCGAAACCCUUGUCACUAGUUGCCAGCGCGUCAUGGCGGGGACUCUAGUGAGACUGCCGGUGUUAAACCGGAGGAAGGUGGGGAUGACGUCAAGUCCUCAUGGCCUUUAUGUCCAGGGCUGCACACGUCCUACAAUGCGACGCACAAAGGGAAGCGAAAUCGCGAGAUCAAGCAAAUCCCAGAAAACGUCGCUCAGUUCGGAUUGCAGGCUGCAACUCGCCUGCAUGAAGCCGGAAUCGCUAGUAAUCGCGGAUCAGCAUGCCGCGGUGAAUAUGUUCCUGAGCCUU
rnacentral:rRNA from 1 species